rnacentral:rRNA from 1 species
AUUGAACGCUGGCGGCAUGCUUUACACAUGCAAGUCGAACGGUAACAGGCCUUCGGGUGCUGACGAGUGGCGAACGGGUGAGUAAUGCAUCGGAACGUACCCAGAGGUGGGGGAUAACGCAGCGAAAGCUGUGCUAAUACCGCAUGUGAUCUGAGGAUGAAAGCGGGGGACCGAGCAGCAAUGUUUGGCCUCGCGCCUUUGGAGCGGCCGCUGUCGGAUUAGCUAGUUGGUGGGGUAAAGGCCUACCAAGGCGACGAUCCGUAGCUGGUCUGAGAGGACGGUCAGCCACACUGGGACUGAGACACGGCCCAGACUCCUAAGGGAGGCAGCAGUGGGGAAUUUUGGACAAUGGGCGCAAGCCUGAUACAGCAAUGCCGCGUGCGGGAAGAAGGCCUUCGGGUUGUAAACCGCUUUUGGCAGGAACGAAACGGUGUCCGCUAAUACCGGGCGCUAAUGACGGUACCUGCAGAAGAAGCACCGGCUAACUACGUG